rnacentral:rRNA from 1 species
GAUGAACGCUGGCGGCGUGCCUAAUACAUGCAAGUCGAGCGAACGGACGAGAAGCUUGCUCCUCUGAUGUUAGCGGCGGACGGGUGAGUAACACGUGGAUAACCUACCUAUAAGACUGGGAUAACUUCGGGAAACCGGAGCUAAUACCGGAUGAUAUUUUGAACCGCAUGGUUCAAAAGUGAAAGACGGUCUUGCUGUCACUUAUAGAUGGAUCCGCGCUGCAUUAGCUAGUUGGUAAGGUAACGGCUUACCAAGGCAACGAUGCAUAGCCGACCUGAGAGGGUGAUCGGCCACACUGGAACUGAGACACGGUCCAGACUCCUACGGGAGGCAGCAGUAGGGAAUCUUCCGCAAUGGGCGAAAGCCUGACGGAGCAACGCCGCGUGAGUGAUGAAGGUCUUCGGAUCGUAAAACUCUGUUAUUAGGGAAGAACAAAUGUGUAAGUAACUGUGCACAUCUUGACGGUACCUAAUCAGAAAGCCACGGCUAACUACGUG